CGAAAGCCUGACGGAGCAACGCCGCGUGUGGGAAGAAGGCUCUUGGGCUGUCAACCACUUUUCUCAGGGAAGAAGUUCUGACGGUACCUGAGGAAUCAGCCUCGGCUAACUCCGUGCCAGCAGCCGCGGUAAUACGGAGGAGGCAAGCGUUAUUCGGAAUUAUUGGGCGUAAAGCGUCCGCAGGGGGCUCAUCAAGUCUGCUGUCAAAGCUCGGAGCUCAACUCCGACCCGGCAGUGGAAACUGGGGAGCUAGAGGGCGGCAGGGGCAGAAGGAAUUCCCGGUGUAGCGGUGAAAUGCGUAGAUAUCGGGAAGAACACCAGAGGCGAAAGCGUUCUGCUGGGCCGCACCUGACCCUCAGGGACGAAAGCUAAGGUAGCG
rnacentral:rRNA from 1 species